ACGCGUUAAACCUUACCUGCUCUUGACAUCCCACUGACCGGACAGUAAUGUGUCCUUUUCUUCGGAACAGUGGUGACAGGUGGUGCAUGGUUGUCGUCAGCUCGUGUCGUGAGAUGUUGGGUUAAGUCCCCGCAACGAGCGCAACCCUUGUCUUUAGUAGCCAGCAGUUCGGCUGGGCACUCUAGAGAGACUGCCAGGGAUAACCCUGGAGGAAGGCGGGGAUGACGUCAAAUCAUCAUGCCCCUUACGA
rnacentral:rRNA from 1 species